CGAUGGGUAGGGGUCCUGAGAGGGAGAUCCCCCACACUGGUACUGAGACACGGACCAGACUCCUACGGGAGGCAGCAGUGAGGAAUAUUGGACAAUGGGCGCAAGCCUGAUCCAGCCAUGCCGCGUGCAGGAUGACGGUCCUAUGGAUUGUAAACUGCUUUUAUACGAGAAGAAACACUCCUACGUGUAGGAGCUUGACGGUAUCGUAAGAAUAAGGAUCGGCUAACUCCGUGCCAGCAGCCGCGGUAAUACGGAGGAUCCAAGCGUUAUCCGGAAUCAUUGGGUUUAAAGGGUCCGUAGGCGGUUUAAUAAGUCAGUGGUGAAAGCCCAUCGCUCAACGGUGGAACGGCCAUUGAUACUGUUAAACUUGAAUUAUUAGGAAGUAACUAGAAUAUGUAGUGUAGCGGUGAAAUGCUUAGAGAUUACAUGGAAUACCAAUUGCGAAGGCAGGUUACUACUAAUUGAUUGACGCUGAUGGACGAAAGCGUGGGUAGCGAACAGGAUUAGAUACCCUGGUAGUCCACGCCGUAAACGAUGGAUACUAGCUGUUGGGAGCAAUCUCAGUGGCUAAGCGAAAGUGAUAAGUAUCCCACCUGGGGAGUACGUUCGCAAGAAUGAAACUCAAAGGAAUUGACGGGGGCCCGCACAAGCGGUGGAGCAUGUGGUUUAAUUCGAUGAUACGCGAGGAACCUUACCAAGGCUUAAAUGUAGAUUGACCGAUUUGGAAACAGAUCUUUCGCAAGACAAUUUACAAGGUGCUGCAUGGUUGUCGUCAGCUCGUGCCGUGAGGUGUCAGGUUAAGUCCUAUAACGAGCGCAACCCCUGUUGUUAGUUGCCAGCGAGUCGUGUCGGGAACUCUAACAAGACUGCCAGUGCAAACUGUGAGGAAGGUGGGGAUGACGUCAAAUCAUCACGGCCCUUACGCCUUGGGCUACACACGUGCUACAAUGGCCGGUACAGAGAGCAGCCACUGGGCGACCAGGAGCGAAUCUAUAAAACCGGUCACAGUUCGGAUCGGAGUCUGCGACUCGACUCCGUGAAGCUGGAAUCGCUAGUAAUCGGAUAUCAGCCAUGAUCCGGUGAAUACGUUCCCGGGCCUUGUACACACCGCCCGUCAAGCCAUGGAAGCUGGGGGUGCCUGAAGUCGGUGACCGCAAGGAGCUGCCUAGGGUAAGACUGGUAACUAGGGCUAAGUCGGAACAAGGUA
rnacentral:rRNA from 1 species